rnacentral:lncRNA from 1 species
AUUUUAGGACUUUUUUUUUUGCAUUCGGUCCCCUCAAAAACAUUAUUUUCAUAAAUAGUCGCACCAAAUUUAUAAUUGCAAUUUUGGCUCUAUCCACGCCACGUAGGCACCACACGAGCAGAGGUGAAGGGUGUGGAAAAAAUUGAAUGCGAUAAUCCAUUCAACGUAUUUAGACGCGGUGAAUAGUUCACCGUGUUUAAUAUAUUAUAUUACUUGAGUGCGGGGUGAAUAUAACCACUAAAUACGGUAAACUAUUUACCGUGUUCAAACACGGUGAAUGGUUCACCGUGUUCAACUUACUACACAGUCUCCACCUUGCUCGCAUGGCACUGACGUGGCGCUUGCAUAGUAAGAGUAGGACAAAUUGCAAGUAUGAAAUUGAUGGGGCUAUUUGUAAAAAAAAAAAACUUUUUGUCACGCCCCGGAUUACACGUUCCCCGGGCACGCCGACAAAUCCGCCGUAUACAAAGAAAUUUUUUCUGUAUACGAAGCGACAGCUGUACCUGUAAAUCAAACACUACUACGAACAGUAGUAGAGAGCUGUUAGAGAAAACAGAAGCUAAACAAACAGAGUUUCAUAUACAUAGUUCAAAAUCAAAAUACAGAGCUACUCGCACUAGCGAGUUAAGUCAACUAUGUACAUAAACUCGAAACAAAACAUCUACCUGCAGUAGGGGCACCUCUAGCUCAGCACGUCGGGUAGGGCUCUAACUCGCGACGCCCUUGCCUCGAUCCUGGUCCGCGGACGGUGCAGCAGCCGGAACCUGUGGCUCUGCAAAAACAUAGGUAACAACUGGGCGUGAGAACUACUGUAAAAACAAGUAGUCCUCAGUGGGUACCGCCCAAAACAACAUCGGUCACCCACUAAGUCUACAGAAGGGAGCAAGAAUAGUAGGAAAAGCAGGAAGUAAACUCUACCGCUAUCAAUCACUACACUAUCAUGCUCUACACUAACCAACUGUAGGAAAUGUCAAAUCUGACCCAAUCCAAUCGGGACUGUAAGCAUACCCGUCCCCGGGACUGUGAAUACACCCGUCCCUGCCCCGUUGCGACUAUCAGGCUCUAUCCACACUAACUGGUCCGUGGAGAGCAAGUCCAACUGGCAUGAGCGACACCAACGCGAAAGCACAAGCCUGACUCCGGAGUGGCACUCGUGGGCGCUACCCAACCGAGUAUGCAGCGUAUCUCUGUCGAGCUCAAACAGGCUCUGAAAAGCCAAAGUCAAGAAAUCGACUCUAACUGGUCUAACAACCAACAAGUAACGUGCCCUCAGCACAAUCUGACGCCAAAAAGGCGAUACGGGUCCACCGUCACUCUGACGGCACCCCACAGUCCGGAACAACCUGAACAACACUGUAAAAAUCCACUCGGCAUACCAGCACGAGCGUAAAUGUAUACUAAACCACCUGGAGUACUCGUCUCGAGGAUACUGCGACAGUACAAUUUAAUAACGGCUCCUAGAGCUAAAUCAGGCAGUUUAAUCAAGUGACAGGUCCAAAUCGCAAGUUUUCUCCUAAUUCAAUUCCCAAGUCCAACAUGUAUAACCUAUUCAAUUUAUUACCACAUGCUCCAAAUUCAGAUAUGCAAUCUACCAUUUAAUCCAUGAAUUCGAGCUAGAAUAGAUUAUUCAAAAAUUGAAAACUAUACAUGUCGACGAUUAGAACUUAGGAGUCAAAGCCGAUGUAACCCACCUCAAAUGCUAAUCACAAUCCGGCGCAACAACAAAAACGGCGGAAUUGGACCCUCGCCCGGCCCCCCUCGCGAUGCUACGACGACGAACAUACGCUCGAACGGCACCGCGGCGCGACGUCGACGAAACUCCACACCACCCGAGCUCCUCCUCUACGUACGGCUCAAGAACUAUAUAUAGACAAUGCACAGGUAUCAAGAUGAUAAGCAUGCUUGGGGGUAAGGUGCACGUGGCAUCCUUAUCCCCAGCUAGCUUACCAACUCAAAAGAAAUAAAAAGAAAAAGGAAAAGAAAAGAUAAAGAAAUAAGGAUACUACAUCCUCCUCCACUACAAAAAGUUUCGUCCUCGAAAUUUAAAACAUACCUCAAGACGGGACAACGAACAAGUCGGGGUAGGACUCCCUCAUCACUGUCUCAGGCUCCCAAGUCACCUCCCGCUCCUCGUGAUUGCUCCACUGCACUUUCACAUACGGGAUGACCCGGUUGCGCAAUUCCUUCGUCUCGCGAGCAAGAAUCCGCACCGGUCGCUCCUCGUAUCUCAAAUCCUCGCCAAUCUCUAGUGGAGUGAAGUCAAUCACGUGAGAAGGAUCGAAAACAUAUCUUCUCAGAGCCGAGACGUGGAACACAUCAUGAAUCCCAGCUAGUCGGGGUGGUAGAGCAAUCCGGUAAGCAACUGGUCCAACACGCUCCAAUACCUCGAAAGGGCCAACGAAACGUGGACUAAGCUUUCCACGCACUCCAAAUCGGCGAAUCCCUCUGGACGGCGAGACUUUGAGGAAAACAUGAUCUCCAACCUGAAACUCUAAGUCUCGUCUCUUGGUAUCGGCGUAGCUCCUCUGGCGGCUGUGAGCUGUCAAAAGGUGUCGUCGAACGACUCUCACCUUUUCCUCAGCCUCAAGUAAGAUUUUCGGUCCAAGUGUCCUCCGCUCACCCACAUCGCUCCAAAACAGGGGGGAUCGACAUCUGCGUCCAUACAAUGCCUCAAACGGAGCCAUCUGAAUGCUCGUUUGAUAGCUGUAGUUGUACGCAAACUCAACCAGUCUCACAUGUCGAUACCACCCUCCUCCAAAAUCCAGGACGCAUGCCCUUAGCAUGUCCUCUAGAGUCUGUAUGGUCCGCUCUGACUGACCAUCUGUCUGUGGGUGGAACGCCGUGCUAAAAUGCAGCUGUGUACCCAAGGCUGUCUGCAAACUCCUCCAGAAAUGUGAUACAAACCUCGGGUCUCUGUCAGAUAUAAUCGACACUGGUACGCCAUGCAGCCUAACGAUCUCAUCCAAGUAUAGCUGCGCGAGUCUCUCCCUGGACCAGGUAGUCUGAACCGGUAGGAAGUGAGCAGACUUGGUCAGUCUGUCCACUAUCACCCAAAUCGCGUCGUAGCCACCCUGCGCUCUAGGCAAUCCAACGACGAAGUCCAUAGUGAUGUACUCCCACUUCCACUCGGGCACUGGCAGACUUUGAAGCUUGCCAGCAGGCAUCUGAUGCUCGGCCUUAACCUGUUGGCAAGUCAAACACUGAGCCACAUAUCUGCCAAUGUCCCUCUUCAUUCCAGGCCACCAGAACCGUGCCUUAAUAUCUUUAUAUAUCUUGGUUCCCCCAGGGUGAACUGUAUAAGGAGAACAAUGAGCCUCUCUCAGAAUAUCCGCUCGAAUCUCAGGAUCCACAGGCAUACACAGUCGGUCCCUGUACCUAAGUACUCCCGCACUGUCCAAAGCAAAUCUCCCAUCCUGCCCCCUGUCUAGCCGCUCUCUAAUCCUCAACAAAUACGGAUCUCCACUCUGUUUCUCGCGGAUCCUAUCCAAUAGAGUGGGCUGCAACACAAGAGAUGUCAGCCUCGCCGUAGACCCAGGGGGUACUAUCUCGAGUCCCAGCCGCUGUAGCUCCUCGAGUAGGGGCCUCUGCUCAGUAAUCCUCAAACUUAGGCUCUGCACUGACUUCCUGCUCAACGCAUCUGCCACCACAUUUACCCUGCCAGGAUGAUACUGAAUACUAAUAUCAUAGUCCUUCAGUAACUCCAACCACCGGCGCUGCCUCAGGUUCAGCUCUCUCUGUGUGAACAGAUACUUGAGACUUUUAUGAUCGGUGAAGACCUCGCAGUGCUCGCCGUACAAGAAAUGCCGCAAAAGCUUCAAAGCAAAAAUCACCGCGGCAAGCUCCAAGUCAUGCGUAGGGUAAUUCUUUUCAUAAUCCUUUAAUUGCCGUGAAGCAUAAGCAAUCACCCUACCAUGCUGCAUCAGCACGCAACCAAGUCCACUGUGCGAUGCAUCACUGUAGAUCACAAAUCCAUCCCCCAUCACCGGAAGGGGAAGGAUAGGAGCUGACGUCAACCUCAGUCUCAACUCGUCAAAGCUCCUCUGACAGUCAUCGCUCCAAACAAAACGAAUCCCCUUCCGCGUCAAGCCUGUGAGGGGUGUGGAAAGCUUCGCAAAGCCUUCCACAAACCGAUGGUAAUAUCCUGCCAGUCCCAGGAAGCUCCGUACCUCAGUCACCGUCGUCGGUCUAGGCCAAUCUCGAAUUGCCUCAAUUUUCUUCGGGUCAACAGCUACUCCCUCUGCUGAUAUCACGUGGCCCAAGAAAGCAACCUCCCGUAGCCAGAACUCGCACUUCUUUAACUUGGCAUACAACUUCUUCUCUCACAGAAGCUGUAACACAGUCCUCAAGUGCUCCUCAUGCUCGGCAUCACUCCGGGAGUAAAUCAGGAUAUCAUCGAUGAAGACUACCACAAACCUAUCCAAGAACGGCUUGAACACUCUGUUCAUCAAAUCCAUAAAUGCGGCAGGGACAUUCGUCAAUCCAAAAGGCAUCACCGUGAACUCAUAAUGCCCGUACCGAGUCCGGAAAGCCGUCUUGGGAACAUCCUCGGCCCUCACCCUCAGCUGGUGGUAACCUGACUGGAGAUCAAUCUUCGAGAAAACAUAAGAUCCCUGCAGCUGAUCAAACAAAUCAUCAAUGCGCGGCAAGGGAUACUUAUUCUUGAUGGUCACUUUAUUCAGCUCCCGGUAAUCAACACAUAACCUGAGCGAACCAUCCUUCUUCUUUACAAACAAUACCAGCGCUCCCCAAGGCGACACACUGGGUCUCACAAACGCUCUAUCCAUCAAAUCCUGAAGCUGUGCCUUUAGCUCUCUCAGCUCUGCCGGCGCCAUCCGAUAAGUUACCUUUGCGAUUGGUGCAGUUCCAGGAACUACAUCAAUCACAAAUUCAAUCUCCCUCUCCGGCGGCAACGUCGUCAACUCAGGGGGAAAUACAUCCGGAAACUCGCGGACUACUGGAAUGUCCUCAAGUCCCGGCGCCGCCGUAGGUACCUCCACAACUGUCACUAAGAAAGCAAUACACCCGCUACUCAGCAUCUGUCGAGCCCUCGCCGAAGAGAUCCAGGUGGCAAACAACGUACUCCUGCAGCCUCUGAAAGCGAACUCCUCCUGGCCUGGCUCGCGGAACGUCACCGUCCUCGCUCCACAAUCAAUCGUAGCAUAGUAGUCCUCAGUGGGUACCGCCCAAAACCACAUCGGUCCACCCACUAAGUCUACAGAAGGGAGCAAGAGUAAUCAGAAAAGCAGGAAAUAAACUCUACCGCUAUCGAUCACUACACUAUCAUGCUCUACACUAACCAACUGUAGGAAAUGUCAACUCUGACCCAAUCAACUCGGGACUGUAAGCAUACCCGUCCCCGGGACUGUGAAUACACCCGUCCCUGCCCCGUUGCGACUAUCAAGCUCUAUCCACACUAACUGGUCCGUGGAGAGCAAGUCCAACUGGCAUGAGCGACACCAACGCGAAAGCACAAAGCCUGACUCCGGAGUGGCACUCGUGGGCGCUACCCAACCGAGUAUGCAGCGUAUCUCUGUCGAGCUCAAACAGGCUCUGAAAAGCCAAAGUCAAGAAAUCGACUCUAACUGGUCUAACAACCAACAAGUAACGUGCCCUCACCACAAUCUGACGCCAAAAAGGCGAUACGGGUCCACCGUCACUCUGACGGCACCCCACAGUCCGGAACAACCUGAACAACACUGUAAAAAUCCACUCGGCAUACCAGCACGAGCGUAAAUGUAUACUAAACCACCUGGAGUACUCGUCUCGAGGAUACUGCGACAGUACAAUUUAAUAACGGCUCCUAGAGCUAAAUCAGGCAGUUUAAUCAAGUGACAGGUCCAAAUCGCAGGUUUUCUCCUAAUUCAAUUUCCAAGUCCAACAUGUAUAACCUAUUCAAUUUAUUACCACAUGCUCCAAAUUCAGAUAUGCAAUCUACCAUUUAAUCCAUGAAUUCGAGCUAGAAUAGAUUAUCCAAAAAUUGAAAACUAUACAUGUCGACGAUUAGAACUUAGGAGUCAAAGCCGAUGUAACCCACCUCAAAUGCUAAUCACAAUCCGGCGCAACAACAAAAACGGCGGAAUUGGACCCUCGCCCGGCCCCCUCGCGAUGCUACGACGACGAACAUACGCUCGAACGGCACCGCGGCGCGACGUCGACGAAACUCCACACCACCCGAGCUCCUCCUCUACGUACGGCUCAAGAACUAUAUAUAGACAAUGCACAG